UACGUAGGGCGCAAGCGUUGUCCGGAAUUAUUGGGCGUAAAGAGCUCGUAGGCGGUCUGUCGCGUCUGGUGUGAAAUCCCAUGGCUCAACUGUGGGCUUGCAUCGGGUACGGGCAGACUAGAGUGCUGUAGGGGAGACUGGAAUUCCUGGUGUAGCGGUGGAAUGCGCAGAUAUCAGGAGGAACACCGAUGGCGAAGGCAGGUCUCUGGGCAGUUACUGACGCCGAGGAGCGAAAGCAUGGGGAGCGAACAGG
rnacentral:rRNA from 1 species